rnacentral:rRNA from 1 species
GACGAACGCUGGCGGCGUGCUUAACACAUGCAAGUCGAACGGAAAGACCCUGCUUUUGUGGGGGGCUCGAGUGGCGAACGGGUGAGUAACACGUGAGUAACCUGCCCUUGACUUUGGGAUAACUUCAGGAAACUGGGGCUAAUAACGGAUAGGAGCCUCUGCUGCAUGGUGGGGGUUGGAAAGAUUCGGCGGUUGGGGAUGGACGCGCGGCUUAUCAGCUUGUUGGUGGGGUAGUGGCAUACCAAGGCUCUGACGGGUAGCCCGCCUGAGAGGGUGACCGGCGACAUUGGGACUGAGGUACGGACCAGAAGCCAACGGGAGGCAGAAGUGGGGAAUAUUGCACAAUGGGCGGAAGCCUGAUGCAGCAACGUCGCGUGCGGGAUGACGGCCUUCGGGUUGUAAACCGCUUUCGCCGGUGACGAAGCGUGAGUGACGGUAAUGGGUAAAGAAGCACCGGCUAACUACGUG